UUCUAGUGAACCUGCGCCACCAGGAGCCAUGACAAAUGCAUCUGCAAGUUCUGCCAUUUUAUUUUUACGUUCAUGCAUAGAAUCAACUAAAAUUAAUUCAGUUAAACGUUGGCUUGUGAUUUCAUGUUCAUCUAACAUUUUAGGCAUGACGCCAAUAGCUUUGCCGCCAUGAUCUAAUACACCAUCUUGAAUGGCACCCAUAAUACCAAUUGACCC
rnacentral:snRNA from 1 species